rnacentral:rRNA from 1 species
AGAGCAUGAUACCGGCUCAGAACGAACGCUGGCAGCGUGCCUUAUACAUGCAAGUCGAGCGAGAAAGCCUCUUCGGAGGCGAGUAAAGCGGCAAACGGGUGAGUAACGCAUGGGUUACCUGCCUUUCGGAGUGGGAUAACGGCGGCCCUUCGGGGCCUUUAGCGAAAGUGCCGCUAAUACCACAUGUUGAUUUCGGGGCACAUGCUUAAUCGUAAGCCUUGUAGUCCUGAAGUUGAAAAGGUGUCUGCCUUCGGGCAGAUUUCCGCCGAGAGAGGGGCCCGUGUCCUAUUAGCUAGUUGGUGAGGUAACGGCUCACCAAGGCGAUGAUGGGUAGCCGGCGUGAGAGCGCGACCGGUCACACUGGGACUGAGACACUGCCCAGAGCCCCACGGGGCGCAGCAGUAGGGAAUAUUCCACAAUGGGCGCAAGCCUGAUGGAGCGACGCUGCGUGGAGGAAGAAGGCCUUCGGGUUGUAAACUCCUGUUAGGGGUUAUGAGUUCUGACAAAGGCCCCAGAGGAAGCUGUGGCUAACUCCGUGCCAGCAGCCGCGGUAAUUCGGAGACAGCGAGCGUUGUUCGGAAUCACUGGGCGUAAAGCGCGCGUAGGCGGCGCGGUAAGUUGGAGGUGAAAUCCCGGGGCUCAACCCCGGAACUGCCCCCAAUACUGCCGUGCUUGAGGGCGACAGGGGAGAGUGGAACUCGUGGUGGAGCGGUGAAAUGCGUAGAUAUCACGAGGAACGCCGGCGGCGAAAGCGACUCUCUAGGUCGUUCCUGACGCUGAGGUGCGAAAGCCAGGGGAGCAAACGGGAUUAGAUACCCCGGUAGUCCUGGCCGUAAACGAUGGGCACUUGGCAGUAGGGGACCAACCUUUAUUGCCGUAGCUAACGCGAUAAGUGCCCCGCCUGGGUAGUACGGCCGCAAGGCUAAAACUCAAAGUAAUUGACGGGCCUUCGCACAAGCGGUGGAGCAUGUGCCUUAAUUCGAUUCAACGCGAGGAACCUUACCAGGGUUUGACAUGCAGGUGGUACGAACCCGAAAGGGGGAGGACCACGGUUUUCCGUGGAGCCUGCACAGGUGUUGCAUGGCUGUCGUCUGUUCGUAUCGUGAGAUGUUGGGUUAAGUCCCGCAACGAGCGGAACCCUUGUCCCUAGUUGCUAACGUGUCAUGGCGAGGACUCUAGGGAGACUGCCGGUUUCAAACCGGAGGAAGGUGGGGACGACGUCAAGUCAUCAUGGCCCUUAAGCCCUGGGCGGGACACGUGCUACAAUGGUCGGUACAACGGGAAGCCAAGCCGAAAGGCGGAGCGAAGCCCUAAAAGCCGGCCCCAGUUCGGAUCGGGGGCUGCAACUCGCCCCCGUGAAGUCGGAAUCGCUAGUAAUCGCGGAUCAGCCACGCCGCGGUGAAUAUGUGCCCGAGGGUUGUACACACCGCCCGUCAAGCCACGGGAGCUGGGAGCACGCGAAGUCGUGGGUCUAACCGCAAGGAGGGCCGCGCCCACCGUGAGCCCAGCGACUGGGACUAAGUCGUAACAAGGUA